GGACUUUGGCAGCACACAGACUAAAAUUGGACCGACACCGAGAAGAUUAGCAGGCCCCUGCCCAAGGAUGGCACGUAAAUCCAUGAAGCAUUCCAUGUGUUA
ensembl:snRNA LOC120098050 U6 spliceosomal RNA